rnacentral:rRNA from 1 species
CCUACGGGUGGCUGCAGUGAGGAAUAUUGCACAAUGGGGGAAACCCUGAUGCAGCGACGUCGCGUGCGUGAAGAAGUCUCUCGGUACGUAAAGCUCUAUCAGCAGGGGAGCACAUGACGGUACCUGACUAAGAAGCCGCGGCUAACUACGGACCAGCAGCCGCGGUAAUACGUAGGGGGCGAGCGUUAUCCGGGUUUACUGGGUGUAAAGGGCGCGUAGACGGGAGGACAAGUCUGGAGUGAAAUCCCGGGGCUCAACCCCGGAACUGCUGUUGAAACUGUGCGGCUGGAGUGCAGGAAGGGUAAGCGGAAUGCCUGGUGUAGCGGUGAAAUGCGUAGAUAUUAGGAAGAACACCGAUGGCGAAGGCGGCUUACUGGAGUGUAACUGACGCUGAGGCUCGAAAGCGUGGGUAUCAAACAGGAUUAGAUACCCGAGUAGUC